rnacentral:rRNA from 1 species
CCUACGGGAGGCAGCAGUGGGGAAUAUUGGACAAUGGGCGCAAGCCUGAUCCAGCCAUGCCGCGUGUGUGAAGAAGGUCUUCGGAUUGUAAAGCACUUUAAGUUGGGAGGAAGGGCAGUUACCUAAUACGUAAUUGUUUUGACGUUACCGACAGAAUAAGCACCGGCUAACUCUGUGCCAGCAGCCGCGGUAAU